UACGUAGGGUGCAAGCGUUGUCCGGAGUUAUUGGGCGUAAAGAGCUCGUAGGCGGCUUGUCGCGUCGGAUGUGAAAGCCCGGGGCUUAACUCCGGGUCUGCAUUCGAUACGGGCAGGCUAGAGUUCGGUAGGGGAGAUCGGAAUUCCUGGUGUAGCGGUGAAAUGCGCAGAUAUCAGGAGGAACACCGGUGGCGAAGGCGGAUCUCUGGGCCGAUACUGACGCUGAGGAGCGAAAGCGUGGGGAGCGAACAGG
rnacentral:rRNA from 1 species